rnacentral:ncRNA from 2 species
AUAAUUUAAAAACACUCUAGCCUCUGCACCUGGGUCAACUGAUACGGUGCUUUGGCCGUGGCGGCGCAAAGGCGCUGUCACCAGGGUGCAGGAAGAAAUGACUGCGCCUCCCGUACUGGAAAGGUGUACAUGGCCUCACAAC